CUACGGGGGGCUGCAGUGGGGAAUAUUGCACAAUGGGCGCAAGCCUGAUGCAGCCAUGCCGCGUGUAUGAAGAAGGCCUUCGGGUUGUAAAGUACUUUCAGCGGGGAGGAAGGGAGUAAAGUUAAUACCUUUGCUCAUUGACGUUACCCGCAGAGGAAGCACCGGCUAACUCCGUGCCAGCAGCCGCGGUAAUACGGAGGGUGCAAGCGUUAAUCGGAAUUACUGGGCGUAAAGCGCACGCAGGCGGUUUGUUAAGUCAGAUGUGAAAUCCCCGGGCUCAACCUGGGAACUGGAUCUGAUGCGAGGAAGUUAGAGUGGGGGGGAGGGAGGUGGAAUGCCAGGGGUAGAGGGGAAAUGCGUAGAGAUCGGGAGGAGUACCGGUGGCGAAGGCGGCGAUAUGGACGAAGACUGCCGCUCAGGUGCGACAGCGUGGGGAGCAAACAGGAUUAGAUACCCGGGUAGUC
rnacentral:rRNA from 1 species